UACGUGAGCCCCAAGCGUUAUCCGGAAUUAUUGGGCGUAAAGCGUCCGUAGGGGGCCAUAUUAGUCUUGUGUUAAAUACCGAGGCUCAACCUCGGUGCUGCGCAGGAAACGGUAUGGCUAGAGGGUGUGAGAGGCCGGCGGAACUUAUGGUGUAGGGGUGAAAUCCGUUGAUAUCAUAGGGAACACCGAAGGCGAAGGCAGCCGGCUGGCGCAACCCUGACCCUGAGGGACGAAAGCUAGGGUAGCGAACGGG
rnacentral:misc_RNA from 1 species